rnacentral:tRNA from 1 species
AUAGCUCAGCUGGAUAGAGCAUUUGAUUGCGGUUCAAAAGGCCAGAGGUUCGAAUCCUCUU